GAUGAACGCUAGCGGGAGGCUUAACACAUGCAAGUCGAGGGGUACAGUAGCAAUACUGGAGACCGGCGCACGGGUGAGUAACGCGUAUGCAACCUGCCCUUUACAGGAGGAUAGCCCGCUGAAAGGCGGAUUAAUAAUGCAUAAUAUGGUACAAUCGCAUGGUUGAACCAUAAAAGAUGAGGCGGUAAAGGAAGGGCAUGCGUGACAUUAGCUUGUUGGCGGGGUAACGGCCCACCACGGCGACGAUGUCUAGGGCUUCUGAGGGGAAGGUCCCCCACACUGGUACUGAUACCCGGACCAGACUCCUACGGGAGGCAGCAGUGAGUAAUAUUGGUCAAUGGGCGCGAGCCUGAACCAGCCAUCCCGCGUGCAGGAAGACGGCCCUAUGGGUUGUAAACUGCUUUUGUGCAGGAAGAACGUACGAAUCGUGAUUUGUAGUGACGGUACUGCAUGAAUAAGCACCGGCUAACUCCGUGCCAGCCGCCGCAGUAAAAC
rnacentral:rRNA from 1 species